GAUGUGGCGUUGCCCAGACAACUAGGAUGUUGGCUUAGAAGCAGCCAUCAUUUAAAGAGUGCGUAAUAGCUCACUAGUCGAGUGACACUGCGCCGAAAAUGUACCGGGGCUAAACAUAUUACCGAAGCUGUGGAUUGUCCUUUGGACAAUGGUAGGAGAGCGUUCUAAGGGCGUUGAAGCAUGAUCGUAAGGACAUGUGGAGCGCUUAGAAGUGAGAAUGCCGGUGUGAGUAGCGAAAGACGGGUGAGAAUCCCGUCCACCGAUUGACUAAGGUUUCCAGAGGAAGGCUCGUCCGCUCUGGGUUAGUCGGGUCCUAAGCUGAGGCCGACAGGCGUAGGCGAUGGAUAACAGGUUGAUAUUCCUGUACCACCUAUAAUCGUUUUAAUCGAUGGGGGGACGCAGUAGGAUAGGCGAAGCGUGCGAUUGGAUUGCACGUCUAAGCAGUAAGGCUGAG
rnacentral:rRNA from 1 species